UACGUAGGGGCCGAGCGUUGUCCGGAAUUAUUGGGCGUAAAGAGCUCGUAGGCGGCUUGUCACGUCGGGUGUGAAAGACCGGGGCUUAACUCCGGUUCUGCAUUCGAUACGGGCUAGCUAGAGUGUGGUAGGGGAGAUCGGAAUUCCUGGUGUAGCGGUGAAAAUGCGCAGAUAUCAGGAGGAACACCGGUGGCGAAGGCGGAUCUCUGGGCCAUUACUGACGCUGAGGAGCGAAAGCGUGGGGGAGCGAACAGG
rnacentral:rRNA from 1 species